UCUUUUUAACUUUAUUUGAUGGGGGAAGGGUUGUAUUUGAAUGGCUGAAUUUAGUUGGUAGAUUUUAUGGCAGUCAGUAAGGUUCACCAAUGCCGGACAAAAUGUGAAAAAGUAUACAUAUAUAGUGCUGUUUCUAUUUUAAUUUAUACUUCUAUCAAAUGUUUGGAGUGUCGUUUUCAAAGGGAAUGUGUUUCCUGCUUUUUUUGGCCUGGAUCUUUCAUACAUCAGUCUCCUGUGAGUUGGUUGAUGUGAGUCAGUUCUGGAGCAAUCAGUCAAUUCUUGGUGCCCUGAUAUGAUCAAAUUUAUGAACCUACAAAGCUGAGGGCUGCCUGCUGAGCUACAGUACUCACACUGUAAGGUAUGUGACCACUGAUCUCACUAGAACACCCACCCACCCACCACUUGCCUCUCUCCCACAUUACGGCUCUAAUUUUAAGAUCACAGUCUCAGAAUUGGCCACUCUGCUGCGUCUCCUUUCCAAGCUUUCUAAGAGGUACCUUUUUUAAUUUUCAGGAGAAAGCAACAUGGGAAGUAAUAUUUCCAAACUUGAAACAAACAAUACAAAGAAUAUUUGGUCUUAACCUUUCUUGGUGGGGUUCUACUGACACUGCUGCUGAUGGCCCUUGUCUUCCUCAUCAUAAAGAGCUACAGAAAAUGUCACUCCAGUCCCCGGGCCCUGGAUCCUCACUCAGUUCCUCCAGCCAAGG